GAAAUGCGAUAAGUAGUGUGAAUUGCAGAAUUCGGUGAAUCAUCGAAUCUUUGAACGCACAUUGCGCCCCUUGGUAUUCCAUGGGGCAUGCCUGUUCGAGCGUCAUUUGUACCCUCAAGCUCUGCUUGGUGUUGGGUGUUUGUCCCCGUCUCUGCGCGUGGACUCGCCCCAAAGUGAUUGGCAGCCGGCGUACUGGUCCCGGAGCGCAGCACAUGUCGCGCAAACGAGUGCCUUGGUACGGCGGCGUCCAUAAGCCCCUCUCUCACGCUCUUGACCUCGGAUCAGGUAGGGAUACCCGCUGAACUUAAGC
rnacentral:misc_RNA from 1 species